AAUGAACGCUGGCGGCAGGCCUAACACAUGCAAGUCGAACGGCCGGACAGGGAGAUCGCGCCCGUACGGGUAGCGAGUGGCGGACGGGUGACGAAUACAUCGUAAUCUUCUUAUUCGGGGAUGAUUACGGAAGACCACCUACGGUAAUACCGCAUAUGACCUACGGGUUGGAGCACGGGGUCUUCGCACCUUGGGCGAUUGAAGGAGUCGAUGUCGGAUUAGCUAGUUGGGGGGGUAAAGGCCCACCAAGGCGACGAUCCGUAGCUGGUCUGAGAGGAUGAUCGGCCACACUGGAACUGAGACACGGUCCAGACUCCUACGGGAGGCAGCAGUGGGGAAUCUUGCGCGAUGGGCGAAAGCCUGAUACAGCAAUACCGCGUGAGUGAAGAAGGCCUUCGGGUUGUAAAGCCCUUUUGUUGGGAAAGAAGAAAAGCAGAUUCACCCAUGGAUGUAAUGACGGUACCCAAAGAAUAAGCCCCGGCUAACUUCGUG
rnacentral:rRNA from 1 species